AGUCUUAGAAGUGCUGUAAUCUGAAAGAAAAAAAUGAAACUUUCCACUUGAUCACUCUGGUAUAUUAUUAUUUUUAAAAAGAUGGAAGUUGUCAUAUGAAAAUGGAGGCAUUAAUUCCUUAACCUAUUCCAAAACUUUAGCUCAUAUUGGCCAAGAAAACAGAAUGCGAAUGGGAAGCCGUGUUUCUGCUUGAGGCAGUAGGAAGCAGAAGGAGACCAAAAAGUCGUCUUAAUGUUAAGCAAAACUUUGAAUCAGCAUUUAAAUUAGAUAUGCUUUAACGGCUGAUGUUAUUUGAAAGCUGAAUAGCCAAUGUCAAAAAUAGAUUUCCCUUUCUUUCCAAAGUGCAGACGGGGUCCAGAAAGGGGCAGAAAUAACCACAUGCCUUUCUUGGACUCAUGACUCUUACCACCCAAAGGGUUUUCUUGUGUAGCAACCAACAAUUCCUUGGAUGGAAACACUGGAUAGGCUAGUCAUUAUUUUGAGAUUGAAGGGACUGCAGAUUCUUGGCAGACCUCUGUUGUUUUUCUAGAGUUGUAGGCAAGUAGUUGGACAAAAAGCAAGAAGCUGAUCGAUGUUGCUGGCUUUGGAUUCUUUGUGAACAAAUGAGACAAGCCCCUUUUGUCUAAAAUAGUGAUGUACAUUCAAUGCAAAGGGCAAAUGGAACCAUUGAAAAGUACUUUUUGCAUCCAAAACAGCCAACGCUUUGGUGCCUGCUAUGUGUCAGACACUGAUUCUUCUGUCAUCCUUAUUCUACUGAUGAGGCAACUGAGGCAGCUUCAGAGAGUUCGAGUAACCUGCAGAUCACACAACUAGGAAGUAAGAGAGCUGGAACUUGACGUUGGGCUGUUGACCUCCAGAAAUGGUGUUUUUUCCAGUACUCAGUGCUGCCUCUGACUCCAUUGUGAUGGUUGAUUUUAUGUGUCAACUUGACUGGGCCCAGGGGUACCCAGAUAUUUGGUCAAACAUUAUUCUGGGUGUUUCUGUGAGGGUGUUUUGGGUGAGAUUAACAUUUAAAUUGGUAGACUGAGUAAAGCAGAUGGCCCUCUAUGAUAUGGCCAGGCCUCAUCCAAUCCAUUGAAAGCCUGAAUGGAACAAAAAGGCCAACCCUCCCUCAGUAGGAGGAAAUUUCGUCUGCUUGACUGCAUUCAAACUAGGACGUCAACUUUUUCCUGCCUUUGGACUUGAAUAGAAACAUCAGCUCUUCCUAGGUCUUCAACCUGCCAGGCUUCAGAUUGAAGUUUAUACCAUCAGCUCUCUUGGUUCUUAGGCCUUUGGACCCAGACUGUAAGUGCACCAUCCGUUCUCUUGGGUCUCGCUUGCUGACUCACCCUGCAGAUUUGGGGACUUAUCAGCCUCUGUAAUUCUGUGAGCCAAUUCCUUCUAAUAGAUCUCUCUAUACGCAUCCUGUCUCACUGGAAGAACCCUGAUACGGUUAGGCUUUGUGUCCUCAUUCAAAUCUCAUCUUGAAUUGUAAAUCCCAUAAUCCCCAUAAUCCCCAUGUGUCAGGGGAGGGAUCAGGUGGAGGUAAUUGCAUCAUGGGAGCAGUUUCCCCUGUGCUCUUCUCACGAUAGUGAAAGAGUUCUCACAAGAUCUGAUGGUUUUAUAAGGUGCUCUUCCCCCUUUGCUCUGCACUUCUCCUUCCUGCUGCCUUGUGGCCUUGUGAAGAAGGUGUCUUGCUUCCCCUUUGCCCUCCUCCAUGAUUGUAAGUUUCCUGAGGCCUCCCCAGUCAUGCAGAACUGUGAGUCAAUUAAACCUCUGUCCUUUAUAAAUUACCCAGUCUCAGACGGUUCUUUAUACCAGUGUGAGAAUGGACUAAUACAAACCCUAAUACAUCAAUUUCUUUUUUGAUCUACCAGGCAAUCCUGUGAAGUAGAUGGGUCAGGUAAUAUCAUUGCUAUUUGACAGAUGAGGGAGAACAAGACCUAGCAAAUGAACACGCAUGUGUUACAUGCUCACAUAGUCACACACAUGCUCGCAUGCGUGCCGUGCACGAGCGCGCACACACACACACACACAUACAGACCACACAUUUCAGGACGAAGGUCAGAAUCCAGGUCUAAUCAUUUAAGUAAGUGCUUCUUCCCCAGGGUGU
rnacentral:lncRNA from 1 species